UCCAGCAUCUGUUCAUUGCGAAGUAUGGGAUCGUCCCAAACAUGACACAGUAUUCCCGGCUCAUAAUCAACAACGUAAAGGUUCACACAACCUCAUACGCUCGUGCGACAAAAAUCUGUUCUUCGUGUGUGAAGAUGAGAGGUGUUGUUACAAUUUGCUGUGUUGGCCAUAUAUGCGACGUAUCAUCAAGUUAGUCUCAUCCUGUCGAGAUGCCAAGGUCCACGAGGCAUGGGCUCCAAAGUUCCCAACCUUCGGCAGCGUCCGGAUCAGCAUUUGGUUCACACUGUUCUGCACAGGUAGGGACUUCAUCAGGAGAAAACGACUCUCAAGACAAUGAAGGCAUGUCGAGGACACAUGAGAACCAACAGAGCAGGUGUCAGUUUGCGCCGCUAUUUAGUAUACCGCUGCAGGAAAAUUGCACAUUCUCUGUGUGGGAUGCUCUCGUUUUGCUUAUGGAUUUCGUCAUAAAGCACCGGUUAACAUGGCCAGCAUCCGAAGACCUCCUGCCCAGCAAACCAUUAAUAUCCCUGGAACAUCCCUACAAGGUCGCGAACGUCCUGAAUAUCUGGACAUCUGUAGGAUAUCUAUGGGGUAUCGCACAAUUUCAAUGCGUGUUGGGCUUACUCCAGUAGACAACAGAUGUCCCUGGCACGUUGGAAGGAUCUCGCGCUCUGGAUGUUUGAAUGUCCCGUGACAGGCAGCCUGCAUAUCUUAGGGAUAUCUAUGGGAGAUCCAGGAAAGAUUUGUUUGUCCUUAUAGAGGUGGUAACCUGAAUUAAAAACACAGUAGUUGAUAGGAAGGGAUGUCGGAAAUGUUGUUGGGUAUACUGUGAGUUGAUGCAGAAACACAGGAAUUGCGAAGAUACAUCCUCAUCACCAUUACAAAUGGUUUACGCCACGCUACCCCUAACGAACGUGUGUGUAACGAUUUGUAUUUCAGUAUAUGUUCCAUCCAGCUCGCAAAUAGAGGUUACUGCGGGUUUUUCCAAGUGGUCCCAGUGAGGCGGGCAGGGUUCGGCACUUAUGCUGGCGUGUCCCACGGUGUUGCUGUACUGUGAUUAAUCCUGUUAGGCUAAGGUAAUGUUUUUGUUCCCAAUAGUAUCAAAUGGGUUAAAACACACAAUAAAUAUUAUUUGCUGGAACACAGUUGCAAGGGUCUCUACGCACUCUACAAACACUAUAUAUCUGAUGCACAAAAUUGUUAAAAGCAAAAUAUGUACGAUAUUCGUAAUCUCCCGUAUAUAUCCAAAUAUCCGUGACAGACAUCGCAGGGACUUUCAGUGGAUCUACAAACAUGGCAGAAAUGCUAGUUGCAGGGAUAUCGCAUGGAUGUAAAACGGAUCUGUGGCAAACUCCACUGGAUAUCCAAACGUCCCGGGCGAGAUAUCUUACGGAUAUUUGCUGGAUGUAUCUGGUUUGCUGGGUGAAAUUGGUGAACAAGUUAAUUGGACAGGACAGCUUGCCCGAGUCUGCAUACCUGUUCAAAAAGUUUUGUGGGGCGUCGCCGAGAGACAUGACUUUCCACUUUUAUUGCAACACUUGUGAAACUAUACUGUGCACGACAAGUGGGGACUUAAAUGAGAGAAACAACAUCGCAGAAACCUGUUCUAUCUGUAAGGAGCAACAUCUUGACAGGAACUUGAUGGCAAAGGGCCACUUCUUUGUAAGUCUGCCCUUGAGGACUCAGUUGGAGUCACUUCUUGCUGAUGGGGACUUGUCGUGGCAGUUGAAACAGUCAUUAGAAAGGCUAGAAGUGAGCAACACAGAUUAAGCUAUGCGUGACAUCACCGAUGGGACCUUCUUCAAAGACCAGCGGGAAAAACUGGGCUGCAAUAACUACGACUUUACCCUUACCCUCAACACAGAUGGAAGUACCACAUUUAAAAGUUCCAAUUUCUCCAUUUGGCCUGUACAAGUCCUCAUAAACGAGCUGCCGCCAUACCACCGAUGGACAAGUCCUUCAGUGCCACUUCUAUGGUACGGGGAUAAGCAUCCAAACAUGUUUCUUCUGCCUAAUGUAUUUGCAAGACAGAUGGAGGCCCUCGCAGAAAAUGGAGUACAGUGGAGCAGUGAGGGACAGUGCAUCACCUUAAAGGCAUAGCACUUCAUACAAUUGUUCUCUUGAGUGAGAAUGAGAGGCUUUAAUUCUCCAGUGUUCAUAUAUAUGCGCCAGGUUUCAGGUCUACUGCAUUACAUGUGUCGCUGAUGCACCUGCCAGACCUGCAAUGCUGAACAUGGUACAGUUCAAUGGCUACGUUUCAUGUCCCUCGUGUUUCCAUCCUGGGACAUGCACUGAGGCAUUUCAGGGUACGUGAAGUUUGCAGUGACAGAAGGGCCAGCUGCUGAAAGGACAGACCGUUCAAUGAUUCAGGAUAUGAGAUCAGCUGCAUCGUCGGGUCAAAUUGUGCGCGGCGUAAAGGGGCCGUCACCACUUCUGACAGUGCCAGGCAUAAGCAUUAUCUAGAGCGUAGUGCCGGACUAAUGCAUGCAUGUUUACUUGGAACAGCAAGACAAAUCACAGACCUGUGGUUUCGUGAUGUGGGAACAGAUUAUUACAUUGGCACACCACAGAAAAGACAACUGGUUGAUGAAAGACUCCAGAGUUUAAAACCACCGUUGUGCUUCACACGAUGCCCAAAAUCUGUGAAACAGAGGGGAUUUUGGGAGGCAGGGGAGUGGCAAUCAUGGCUGCUUUACUUUUCUCUUCCUUGUCUUCAGGAUAUCUUACCCAGUACCUACCAUGAGCAUUUUGCGUUACUAGUUUCUGGCAUUUACUUGUUGUUACAAAGUGAGGUAACACAAGCUGAUGUGAGAGAAAGCGGCGAGAAGCUGACCAGGUUUGUUGUGAUGACACAGUACCUGUACCGUGAAAGAGAAAUGAAAUCCAACGUGCACACCCUGCUUCCUUUGACAAACAGUGCCAUCUUACAUGGCCCGCUUUGGGGGAUAUCGUGCUUUGCUUUCGAAACAAACAUGGGCCAUCUUCUGGAUUUCGUGUCGUCGUCAAAUGUAGUUGCACUGCAAAUUUUCUCACGCAUCCUAAUGCGCAAUAACUUCUACGAGCUGAGAAGUCUGGCAUCAGAAGGAGCACAGAGCAUGUGCUGCCAUGGGAAGCCCGUGAUGGACAAUAUUCAUCCACUAGGCAAACCGAAGCAAGUUGCUCAAGAAAUGACUGAUUGGUUGUGUGCCCAUUUUGAUCACACAGAGGACAUUAAGGAGUAUGACCGUGUUUUAGUUUGUGGUUGCAUUAUUCACAGCACAAGGUACCGUCGGGCUUCUAAGAGAGACUCGACGUCGUCUCGAACUGGAGACAACUACCUUAGAGCCGAACGUAUCCUUGUACAUUCCUCUCCACACGGGACAACUGUUUACGUAGCAUCACAUAAAUACAAUAGAGCCACAUCCUGUGGUGUGAGUCAUGUAAUGAGAGCUCGGAAGCGUCCAACAAAGGUGCUGCAUAAACUUGACCAACGCAUUGUCCCUUGCAUAUGCCUAAACAUUGAGAAAGGAAUGUAUUUUGUGCACUUAUGCAACAGAUAUGAGUGGACAUGAUGUGUACAGUGAGGUAGAGUAUAAUUGAACCUCUGUAUGCAAUAAGGGGAUAAGUUGCUCUGAGUAGUACUUUUGCUCAAAUGACAUCUACAUAACAGCAUGUAUCUGCCAAGGAAAUUUUAGGAACGCAUCGGAAAUUUUUUGCUAAGGGCUAAGGAACAGGAAGUGUAUAUAUGUGUCAGUGAGACGGGACAGUCAGAUCAGGCCCCUGUGUAUGUUAUGUUACAUUGAAAAAGGGGAUAUGUCAUGCUCCUGGAGCUUGUUCAAUUUCUGCUAAGUCUACAUUUAUUCAUUUUUUUUCACCAUAGUAUUGUGGCCAUCUGUGAAUCCCCCCUCACUGCUGCCUUCUGAGUGAGCAGACGCUUUGUCACGUGCUUUCUUCAACAUUUCUGUUCUCUCAUGCGCAGAGAAGUAUUGUCGUAGCAUAUUGCAUACAGAGGUUCAAUUAUAAACUACUGUAAAUGGAUGUAGGGGUUGAGUGUGCUACAGCUAGAACGUACUAUAAUUUUGCAAAUUUUACUAAGCCAGUCUAAUUGCAUGUUUGUGCUUCUCAUACUGUUUCUUGUAGUUGUUGGAAGCUUGUGUUGUGCUGCUUCAUCAUUUCUUGUGACUGGCAUAUUUCUGCAGGGCGUAGAACAUUCAAUAAAUAUGUGGUUAA